ensembl:ncRNA Y76B12C.10 ncRNA
CCAAUAAUUCUAAAGCACCAGAAUAUUGAAUGUGCUCUUUCCAUCCGGCGCCCCGCAGGAGCACCACCACCACCACAAUAAAACUCUUUUUUUCAUGAAUAAGAUAUUGAUGGUUUCC